GUCAGUUAGGAUGUGGAUUUUCUUGCUCUCUCAAAGGUUCUUUUAUUUAAAUAUGUUCAUACAUUUUUCUCCUACCGCUCUCUUUCCUGAAAGAAUGAAGUUAGAGGAUUAGGUUGCUAAGUUUAGCUCUUGCUGACGCACUGGCCUCUCACUAGCAGUCUCCUCGUGUCUCAGUGUUUCUUUAAGCCUCGCUUUUUUGCUGGUAGACGCACACCAUCACAUCCUACAUAAUAUUUAGCUCUGAGGCGUUUCCAGAUGGGAAGUGCGUUUCUGUAUUUUCAUAGCCGUGUUCUCUACGUGAAUGGACUGGCGUGAAGCUGGGGGCUGACGGCUGGCAGGGCAGAACAACUUCCAGUAAAAGAAGGCACUGAGGUUUAAGUGCUACGUGGGAGCAGUUGCCGAUUUUUGCAAUGGGAGGCUGCAUAGAUUCAAGGACUUCCUUGAGUGCUCCAGGAGCUUGUCAUUCCAGAGACAGAGCAGCCCAGAAGUCCUGGGAUUUACACCUCUAGUAGAAACCCUCAACCAGAGAAGGAUGGAAGUCAAUGGGCAGAGUGCUCGGGAGACCUUUACCUGUUUUACCUGAUUACAUCCUCUGAGGCCACUGGCCCAGAUGCUUGUUCUUGUUCCUGUACCUUGGACUCCUUUGCUUAUCUUUCCGCUGAGUUGGACACGCUAGCCCAGGCCCAUUCUCUGUUACCUGCCCACCCAAUCAGUCCCCUUCCUUCUCUGUGGUUGUUUGGGCUGGAUCCAGUCAUAUCUCAAGAUGGGGACGCCUUGCUG
rnacentral:lncRNA from 1 species